rnacentral:lncRNA from 1 species
UAAAAAUAAAUUGAAGUAAAUAAUAUUGGGUUAAAAAAGCAAAUAAUAUGAAUUUUAUAAUUUAGUGGACUGAUUAGGACUCAAAAUUGUAAAAGAGACCAAUUAUUAAACCUUAAUAUCCAUUAUGAGUCAAAAUACAUGGUUUGGGUUAACUCUUAGUCACUUGAGAUAUCCAUAUUUUGUGAACUAAACUCAAUCACAAUACCUAAGAAGAUUGGAAGCUGAAUCGAGUGACUCAAAUCUCGGGAAAU